AUUGAACGCUGGCGGCAGGCUUAACACAUGCAAGUCGAGCGGGGGAAGGUAGCUUGCUACCGGACCUAGCGGCGGACGGGUGAGUAAUGCUUAGGAAUCUGCCUAUUAGUGGGGGACAACAUCUCGAAAGGGAUGCUAAUACCGCAUACGUCCUACGGGAGAAAGGAGGGGAUCCUCGGACCUUGCGCUAAUAGAUGAGCCUAAGUCGGAUUAGCUAGUUGGUGGGGUAAAGGCCUACCCAGGCGACGAUCUGUGGCGGGUCUGAGAGGAUGAUCCGCCACAAUGGGACUGCGACACGGCCCAGACUCCUACGGGAGGCAGCAGUGGGGAAUAUUGGACAAUGGGGGGAACCCUGAUCCAGCCAUGCCGCGUGUGUGAAGAAGGCCUUAUGGUUGUAAAGCACUUUAAGCGAGGAGGAGGCUACUCUAGUUAAUACCUAGGGAUAGUGGACGUUACUCGCAGAAUAAGCACCGGCUAACUCUGUGCCAGCCGCCGCAGUAA
rnacentral:rRNA from 1 species